rnacentral:rRNA from 1 species
GAUGAACGCUGGCGGCGUGCCUAAUACAUGCAAGUCGAGCGAACAGAUGAGGAGCUUGCUCCUCUGACGUUAGCGGCGGACGGGUGAGUAACACGUGGAUAACCUACCUAUAUGACUGGGAUAACUUCGGGAAACCGGAGCUAAUACCGGAUAAUAUAUUGAACCGCAUGGUUCAAUAGUGAAAGACGGUUUUGCUGUCACUUAUAGAUGGAUCCGCGCCGCAUUAGCUAGUUGGUAAGGUAACGGCUUACCAAGGCAACGAUGCGUAGCCGACCUGAGAGGGUGAUCGGCCACACUGGAACUGAGACACGGUCCAGACUCCUACGGGAGGCAGCAGUAGGGAAUCUUCCGCAAUGGGCGAAAGCCUGACGGAGCAACGCCGCGUGAGUGAUGAAGGUCUUCGGAUCGUAAAACUCUGUUAUUAGGGAAGAACAGAUGUGUAAGUAACUAUGCACGUCUUGACGGUACCUAAUCAGAAAGCCACGGCUAACUACGUG